rnacentral:lncRNA from 1 species
UUUUGGURUUGAGUUGUUUGCCCUAGGUAGCAUGACUAGGUAAAAUACACUAUUACAUCACGAGAGGGGACUGAGCCACGGAUGCUCGUGGUAUCCUGGUCUAAUGCCUGAACUCUGAACAGAAAAGAUGAUCAGCCCCUGAUAUGUAAGAUCUGCUCUUGCCCUGGGCUCCUCUGAACCCCCUUCCGAAGCGCGGAGGAUUCAGGUCCUGGUGCUGUGCCGGCCGCUCUGCUCCGCUGCCGCCGCGGGCCCGGCUGCCGCGGCUGCGUCCCCAUG